UGUCUCCCACAGAGGGGGAGCGGCGAGUUAGAGCGAACGAUCGCAGCUACAAUGAGAGGUUCCAGUACGCGAGUAACUGCAUCAAGACCUCGAAAUACAACAUCGUAACCUUCCUGCCGGUUAACCUUUUUGAGCAGUUUCAGGAAGUGGCCAACACCUACUUCCUCUUCCUGUUAAUCCUACAGCUGAUCCCGCAGAUUUCCUCACUCUCCUGGUUCACCACCAUUGUGCCUUUGGCUUUGGUCUUGAUCAUCACAGCCGUCAAAGACGCCACCGAUGACUAC